rnacentral:rRNA from 1 species
GAUGAACGCUGGCGGCGUGCUUAACACAUGCAAGUCGAACGAUGAAGCCCAGCUUGCUGGGUGGAUUAGUGGCGAACGGGUGAGUAACACGUGAGUAACCUGCCCUUAACUCUGGGAUAAGCCUGGGAAACUGGGUCUAAUACCGGAUAGGAGCGUCCACCGCAUGGUGGGUGUUGGAAAGAUUUAUCGGUUUUGGAUGGACUCGCGGCCUAUCAGCUUGUUGGUGAGGUAAUGGCUCACCAAGGCGACGACGGGUAGCCGGCCUGGGGGGGUGACCAGCCACACUGGGACUGCGACACGGCCCAGACUCCUACGGGAGGCAGCAGUGGGGAAUAUUGCACAAGGGGCGCAAGCCUGGUGCAGCGACGCCGCGUGAGGGAUGACGGCCUUCGGGUUGUAAAACUCUUUCAGUAGGGAAGAAGCGAAAAUGACGGUACCUUAAGAAGAAGCACGGGCUAACUACGUG